UCCUGGUUAACCCAGGCAGUCUCGUUAGAGUGCCCACCAUUACAUGCUGGCAACUAACGACAAGGGUUGCGCUCGUUGCGGGACUUAACCCAACACCUCACGGCACGAGCUGACGACAGCCAUGCAGCACCUGUGCACGCGUCUCUUGCGAGAAAAUGCUAUUUCUAGCAUCGUCACGUGCAUGUCAAAUCCAGGUAAGGUUCUUCGCGUUGCAUCGAAUUAAACCACAUGCUCCACUGCUUGUGCGGGUCCCCGUCAAUUCUUUUGAGUUUUACCCUUGCGAGCGUACUCCCCAGGCGGUAUACUUAUCGCGUUUGCUUCGACACAGUUGGGGUUGAGUCCAACUACGCCAAGUAUACAUCGUUUAUGGCAAGGACUAC
rnacentral:misc_RNA from 1 species